rnacentral:lncRNA from 1 species
ACAAGUUCGGAGUUCACUUAAACUAAUGCUCUGAUACCAACUGUGACAUCAUCUAAUUUUCAUAAAAAAUUAAAACUUCUCUUUACGCUUUAAAAUCAUUUAUUUAUAUUUGCGGAAAAUAUCAGUACAAAUGAUCAUUAUAAUUACAAAUGUUUGUUUCCAAUAUUUUAAAACCCUAAGGAUGUCAUAAUCAAUACAGAUAGAUAUGUUACAACGUAAAGACCUGAUGGUCCUAAAUACUAUUUUAGGUUGUCUCUUAAUCACUCAGCAUCCUAACCAAUUUCCAGUAGCUUAAGUCUUGAUACAUGUAAUUCAUAUAAACUGAGUGGGUCAGGUUAGGGAAACCUAGGGAAAUACAUAGGGAUUUCAAUCACAAAAUAUUGAUAUGAUAAUAUUCCUUAAUUUUUAGACCUGCAAAACCAGCCGUUUCCAUACUAUAUCCAUAUAGUCUUACAUUCCUACAUAUCUAUCCCUAGCGAUCAUCACAGAUACUAGGCCAAGAUUAUCAGGGGGAAAUUAUCUCGAAUGACGAGCCAUGAAAAGAUUGACUAUAUAUCUAGGGGAUUCAUUGGCAUAUGUAAGUCACAAAGAAUAUGUAAACAUACCAUUACAGGUGUCUGAUCGGGACCUACCAUUUCUGGUUAUCCAAGAAUAUGCAGACAUACCACUAUAGUUGUCUGAUCGGGACCCAUCAUAUCUAGCCAUCCCAAGGGGAAUACUAUAUCAUACUCCCGUACGGAGCUACCAUACAUCGACAACUGAAAGUGUCACAGAACAAAACUUUACUCUCCGUUCCUAGGUUACGCACAUUCUCCUAAUGACACUGCCUUAUAUCAAACUUAAUUGAACUAGGUACCUUCCACAAGUCUAAGUUUAUCCCUAUACUAGAUUACAGUGCAUGUAACCAUCUUUUAAUACCAACUCUAUUCUUGGAUGACACUAACCUAUCUCUAGUGUAUUUAUAUUCCCUACAAAGCAUUAGGUAUUAUUAUUCUUUUAUCUUCUCAGCAAUGCUACUUUUAAUAUUAUUAUAUGAUAUUAUCUAUUUAAACCUAACAUAAACUAGAACCCUAUCUAGUUCGCACAUAGGACAUUAUAUACAUAUAUUAACAUAUAAUCCAGGCAACAAACAUAUAAUUCAUAUACGAUUCCCAGUGUGUAUUUAAUACUUUAAUGUAAUACUUGUAUUAAAUCAUGUUCAUGAAAAGGACUAUGCACUCACUUGACUUAGGUAGGUGACAGACGAUUUCAGCAGCGCCUCACUUCGUACUUUCAAAAGACCUAGAUGCAUAAAGUAUUAUGCUUUAUUCUAGUUUCGUAAUCCCGAUGACUAUAAAAAUUAUAGUUUAGAUUCCUUACUAAACCCAAUUUCUACAUCAAGAUCUAUCAAGUAAGGAUCAGCCAGGCAGGACAGUUGGGAGGCAGGACUAUUUCGGGCGUAUAGCCUUUCUGAAAUCAAAAAACCAAGCCAACGUGACCAUUCUAGACACCUCUCCAGUAAGUAUACGAGUCAAUAUUAUGACUUGUAAUCACUGAUAAAUCUUAUUUAUAGGUUCAUAAUAACGACUUAUAACUAUAAAUACAAGUUACACUGAAAAAAACUAGAGUGUUGGUUAACUUAAAGUGGUUCCUCCUGAUAAAAGUUAGGAAAUUGCACUAGCAGAGAUUCUACUCGCUAGCUACUACUACUUUAGGGGUUUCAGGGCUUCACCAAAGACUAAAAGUAAGAUAAAAUAGGAUAUAAUUGAAAGAAAUUGGGAGAGAGUGUUUGGUAAGUUGUAGGAGAAAUAAUGAGGUUUGGCCUCCUAUUUAUAGCCGAUUUUAGGGUGCAUGUCGUGCAUUUUAAGGUGACGUCUCCCCAACUAUUUGUAUGCCAUGUGUCAGCCUCUCUGUGGUCCACAUUUUCUCCUUCUAGAAGCGUGCAUUGCGCACUCGGCGUUCACCGUGCGCCGUGCAAAAAUGCAGAUUUUGUAUAUUCCGUAAUUUCGUCAUACGAGCUCCGUCUUCAACGUUCUUUAUAUCCUCAUAAAUUUCUUGACGAGGUCUACAACUUUUCUUUAAACUCCAUCGGCUAAUUCUGAAUUUAUUUUUCGUCCCUAUUUUUUAUAUGAUUAAAUUAUUUUGCUAAAAUCGUAACUCUCUUGUACGGAUUCCGUUUUUGGCAUUAUUUACGGAGUCGGAUUUCUAUGAAAUUUAUAUUUUUGGGAUCGAGACGAUGUGUACUUUCUCUCUCUAUAUAUAUAUAUAUAUAUAUAUAUNACACAUGUAUUUUUAUGAUUUACGGGCGAUUCAACUGAUUUUCCUAUUUUUCCUUAAUACGAAACAUGUAUUAUAUAGUCUACAGGGCGCAGGACUAUAGGUUAUCCUAUUCAAGGAUUUUAAUUUUAAUAAUUAUUACUUAUUAUAUGUUGGCUGAAUUUACAGGCGUUACAGAAUAUUAUAACAUAAAAGUAAAUUCAUUAACAUAUUAUUGUAAAUAUUAACAAUUGUUUUGACAUGGUGAAAUCCAAAUUGAAAUUCUAUUAUCAAGACAUAAAUUGAACGAAUGAAUUCUCAUAAGUCUAUCAGAUGAUGUUUAACAUCCAUCACUUCAUAUUGUAAAUCGAUACACUAUAGAUGUGAAAUAAAUAUAAAUGAACUUUUGACAUUUCCUAAAGCCUAAGGAACGCAUUGUUGUUAUCAUGUGACCACAUAGUAUAAUGGAGUGUUAUAAGUUUCCACAUGUACAAGUGAUCUUGUAUAUCUUUUAGAUUAACAACACCAUUCUUUAUAAAAUCUUGUACUUCAAAUUUGAUGGUGUGUAAUGGGUAUAACGUCAAGUUACACACUUAUUACGAUUAUGAAUUUUACGCACUUAUGCAUCUUCAUUCCAAGCACCAUUUUUGUAUAAGGUGUCAUUUUAUCAUAUAGUCUCGUUGAAAAAAUAUAUUAGGAUUAUUAAUUUAACAAUGUUAAUAUAUAUAUAUAUAUAUAUAUAUAUAUAUAUAUAUAUAUGUGUGUGUGUGUGUGUGUGUGUGUGUGUGUGUGCGCGCUCAAAAUAUAACCAAAUUACACAACAUAACUAUUGAGUUUUCUAUGCAACUAUACAUGAAUUUUAGGCAACGGAAGCAAGUGAUAAUAACCCUGAGUAUACAUACACCCUAGAUCUAGGUUUUUACUAUUAUAGCAACCUACUUUCAAACCUACAAGAUUAAUGCUACAAGAGGGAUAUAAUUACUAGCCUUUAAGCAAAAUUGGAUUAAACACUAAAAAUCAAGGAAAGAGGAGAGAAGAGAUAUGAAAACUUAAAUUCAAAGAGUGCUAGGAGAAAAGGGACAAAAAUUAUGAAGCCAAAAGUGUCAAUUUAUAGCUGAGCAAACUUGCAGAGAAAACAUAUUUGAAUUAAUUAAAUAAUCAAAUUUAACCCUAAUUCAAAUGCAUGCCUUAUCAGUAGCUAUGGACGAUUUCUAGAAGGUUUCUAACCCUUCUAAAAACCGCCCACCCCUAUGGGAUUCCAGAAUAUUCCAGUUGCUCGACAAUUAAACACUUAACAUCUAGUCCUUGUAUCUUUAAAUAAUUUCCUAAUUAAUUCCAUAUUAAUUCCAAGGUUGUAAAAGUUUAUAGGCAGUGAUCUGGUUAAGGGACUAAUCAGUUUAGGCCGACAUUAAUCGCACCUAGGAGGAUAGCCUUAAUUGUAAUGGAAUUCGUUUUAAAAUAAAUAAAUAUUACCUAUAUCCUAACAACAUAAGUAAAUAAACAUAAUAAAUUUGAUAUAUUGAAUCUUUUAACUAUUUAAAUCAUCAUAUAUCAUAAUUUUUAGACAAGUGGAUGUUCUUUUUCAUAAUUUUAUUCAUCAUUCAUUAUAAUUUAGUCACUAAUUAUCAAAAAUUUGACUAAUUGAGGAUUUUUUUUUUCUUUUUUUGAAAAAUUUGCCAUGGUGUAUUACUAGGUACUCUUCCAAUCAAAUACUUCACCAUUCGGUAAAAAGCUCGAAUUUUGAAUGCAAACGGAAUCGACUUUAUUAGUGUGGAACUUAGCAUCAAUGUAGCAUUUACAUUGAUCUCUUCCAUACUAAGAUCAUCUCCUUUGUCCUCAUAGGACACUAAGGAACGUACUUGAUUUUGAUUCAUUGAUUCUUGCCAACUUGAUCUAAUUCGACCUAUCAUGCUUGAGGCAUACAAAUCAUCGGGUCUAGUAUAUUAUAUGGCGUACAUGAUCGGUCCCUUAAGCAGAGGCAUGUGGGACACGACUCAUUUCUUCUAGCUCAAUAGUAGAGCUAGGACAUUAGCAAUGCUCAAUGUCAUGCCACACAUUAUGAACUAUUUCAAGUUUCUUCGAGAUUUCAUGUACUUUGGCUUAUCCUAAUGAAUUAAAUACAUUUAUCUCCAUUUAUAAACACAUUCAGUACGUGUGUUGUUUCUCUAAUGUCUCUCAAGGUGAAAGAAUUUCUCAAACAAGCAAAGUUUUUACACUUGCUAUGUUAAAACAUUGUUUCCUAUGAAUUGUAUAUUAUGCAAAUACAUUGCAAGGGUGACUAUAGUACUCCUACUAGCAUUGGUAUAUAUAUAUAUNNNNNNNNNNNNNNNNNNNNNNNNNNNNNUAUAUAUAUAUAUAUACAUAAUCUUCGUUUCUCAAAAUUCAAUCUCCUUGAACUUUCUCAUUGAAAAAGAGAUCCUAACUACUCCAACUGUCUUCGACAUACCUUAUGGCCCAUAUUCAUUUAUCGGAAUUCAAACUCCUUGAAUUUUGUCAUUAAUGUAAUGAUUCCGUCUUGCGAGAUGCUCAUUCACUUCAUAAGCUUACACAUUCUUCACAACCUAUCUUGGUUUUAAUAUAUGUUAGCUCCCAUCCAUGUCUGUUAUCUCCUUGAUGAUUCACUAACACUUACGGCUUUAAGUUGAAGUGUUUGAACAACCAAGUUUUCAAACGUCCAUAGACAGAAUCUCGCUCUACAUGUCCUCUUUCCUUAUUGCAACCUUAUAGGUCCUACCAUUGCUUACAAUAAUUAGCACAUUCUGGUUAUUGCCUUCCAGUGAAUCAUACUAACUUAGUAAUAUAAAUUAUUUACAUCUAGGUAUAUGAUGACCUCUAUCAAGUCUAUUAGGAAGAUUCGGAGGUAUGUCAGUUUCCUUAAUAGCUUUUUAGUCUCAAAUUGAAAGUUAUGACUGACUUUAGGUUUUUUGUUAGUUGACUCGAGAAUCAUUUCAAGAUCAAUAUGGCUCCCACUAGCCCUUUUGGAUAUCAGCUCUCUCUCUCUCUCUCUCUUGGAAGACUUCCCUUUAAGCAACAAACAUUUUUUUCUCAAAAAUGUUGGAAAGAGUAUCUAAGGUCAUUAACUGUUUGUAAUAUUUCUAAUAAUAACAAGGUCCUUUUGGGUUGCCCUGAAGACCCAAUUGAGUAGAAUAAGUAAAAGAAAAAAUAGUUUAUUAAUUAUUAUGGUUUAAAAAUCAAUUAGAAAAUAUUGGAAAAUAUUUUGGGAAUUCAUUAAACAGUUUAGUUAACUAAAGGUUUUAAUAUUCAUUAAUUAAUAGUUGUUUAAUCAGGAAUAUUGUAGAAUCCUUAUGGGAGUAAGGGGUGUACAAAAUAUCUCUUGGAUAAGAGAGAAUUACCAUCCCACAUGGGAUGAAGUACAAAAACCAAGAAAGAGAUCCAAGGCUAUAAAUAUGGCCUUAGGGAUUUCAUUCUUACUUGCACCUUGGCUUGAAAUUUUCACCACCCGUCUUCCUUUCUCUCUCUCUCUCUCCCUCUAUAUAUCUCUAGGGACGAUUUCUAACCCUCUUAGGGUUUGUGAAAUUGACUCUUCUCCUAGUUAUAUUCAUUCCACUAUUUGGUUUCAUUAGGUGUGAUACCAUUAGAGGGAUUAUGGUUUGGGUCCUCUCAUCCAAGCAACCUUGUGUAGGACAAGAUCUCAAGCAUGGAGGUUAAUUAUGUUGGGUUUUGAGCAUUCUAACACUCAUAUGGUGUACAUGAAACCCUAUAAACCUUGGAUCUAUGUUUUCUCUAUUAUACAUGCCAAUAAGAACUUUCCAAGGCUUUAAUCCUAACUAGCAUAAUAUGAGGCAACUAUACUACAAAGACUAGUUAGAUGACAUACCUUAUGAUGUAGCUUGAUGUCUUCAAGCUUUAAGAGCUUAGCCCCAAUAGUGUGGAAGCCUCAAGUGGAAUCACAAAUCACCAACACACCUUGGAAUAACCUUGAGAAUAAGGAUACUUUGGUUCUCUCUAAUGAAAUCGGCAAGCCCUCUUAGUGAACCCACACUAGUGCCAUUUCACCAACCAAGGACAUCUUUAUAUAGUGUGGAGACUAGGGUUAAACCCAUGACCUUUCAUUUCAUAUGAUCCAUGGGUUAAACACUCCAUGGACUAUCCAUGAAAGCUUAGCCCAACCUAAAUGAACUUGGCCCAUUCCAUAUAUAUAAGAGUCCAUAUUUAAUUAGUUCAUUUUGAUCACUUAAUUAAUUCUAAAUUAAUUCUUGAUCAAUACUAAUUAAAUAAUAUGAUUCCAUAUUAAUAUAUUAGAACUUAUAAUAUAUUAAUAUAAUUAUAAAUAUACUAUUCUCAAAAGAUUAUCCAUAUAAAUUGUGUCGGUGAAGUGCAACCCAAAUGGACCAUGCCGGGUCGGGUCAAGUACAUACCAAAUAUAGUUAUGGACUUAGACAUUAAUCCAACAGUCUCCCACUUGGAUAAGUCUAAAACUAUUAUUGCGUAUGACUUCAAACCUAACUGGCAAUCGUAGCUCUUAAAGCUGCUGUCGAACUCUGAUCUUGUCAACGAACUUGUCCAUUAGAUAAGGGAUCAUAUAUUCCUCCAUUCUAGAUAUCAUAUGGACUGAGACAUGGAUUAUAAUCAUUCUCUCUGUCCAUUUGUUGUUUCCCGAUUUCCGAUUUAUGACGACUGACUAAUUGAACAAAUCAAAUCAGUCCUGGCCCGGCCGAGCACUUCCAUUUGUCAUCAUCAAAUCAUCGAGGGGCCCACAGAUAUCGCUUUUAUCCCGAAGGUAAAAGGAACGGAUAAACUUCGACUCAUAUGGCUUGUUCUACUACUUGUUGAAUCAUACACAAAGGCACGUUUUAUAGCACCGAGUUACCCAAUGCGUUUUCGUGCAAUCAAUGUACUAUCAACUCAUAGUAACAACUCAUAUCUCUAGGUUUGAAGAAUAUAAGAUAUUAUCGUCUCAUGAUCACUCGUGAUAAAAUCCAUGAAGUGAUUCAAAUGAGCGCGGGUUGAAUCCAAUACUCAGAACUUAUGAGCACUCGUGAGUGUUGUAACACAAUUUUGUCCACCAACUUGGACCUCUACAAGCCAACCCAUGACAGUCUUGAUUCAUAUCUACUUCCAACAUAUGACCGACUGUGAAUGGUUUGAAUAACUUAGUCAUUCCGAAAGAAUAACCUAGUUAUUAUGGAAGUCCAAACAUGAUAAGGGAAACACAAGAAUAAAUGAAUCUAAUAUGGCAUCAAAACCUAUGAAUAUAACUAAAACACUUUCUAUUUAUCACCAUACUGAUUACUCAUUAUUCAUUGUUUCGGUUUUAUCAACUUUAUACUUGAAUUAAUACACUAGGUGUCCCAUGUUCCAAGCAUGUACACUAUGUUUUCUAAAGAAUAGCUUUGCCAUACACCAAGUAUGAACUCUAUGUUUGUCUAUGAUCCUUACUCUAUGAAAUAGAUGAAUUGAACAUAAUUUCAAUGAUUCUUAUUCCACACUCACAGAUCCUUAUUGUAAAUGUAAGAAUUCCAAAUCCCUAUCACUUAUCGAAAUGUGUUUAGAUUUUAAACUUAUAUGCAUAGACCCUCUUGUAAUGAAUAUGAACAAAGUCACAAAGACUUGUCAACAGUCAUUACAGGGUAUUUCAAUGAAGAUCAACUUCACGGAAAUUAAGUCUCAUAUUCAAGGUACAUUGCUUUGAACAUGCUUUUUUCGUUAAGGUUUUCUAAUCUUACACAGAUUUAUUGACCAACUUCCACCUUCCCAUAUUCCCAUUUUGACUAUCACUUCUGAAUAAGAGUUGCCUCUUUUCAGACUAUGUCAAUAUGGUCCUUCCAAUAUUAACAGUAUAAUUCCAACUGUCCUUGAGCAACCAAUCUUUGGUAAACUAAGAUUGUCUUCGACAAUUGCUUAAUCAGUUUAGUCAUAUCAAAUUCUAGUCAUUUUCCUCUUUAAUGCCCCAAUGCAUUUGGAAAAUUCAGAAAGGAUAAAUAUUAUAGCACAUGUAAUCGAUCUUGUACCCAAAGUAAAUGGGACACGAUUCAUGAUGUUUCACAUAAAGACAUGGUUCUAGACCAGUCUUUUGCCAUAAUAAUUUUUAUUUGCCAUAUUCUUAAAAUUUGACUAUGAAAAGGGAUGUCGUAAUCAUAAUCGAAUUUUGAGAACGCAAUAUAUAGAAUUUCGUUAAGUUGAGCCAAUCCAACAUGAAAUUCAUAUAUAUAUANCUGAAUUAUAGCAAAACAACUUUUUCAACCCUUGCAACCUCACGAGUUGAACUUUUGUUUUCUAUAAUUAACAUUGCUAACUUGCAAUACUUAUUAUAAUUAUCAUGCUCCCACUAACAUGAUGAUUAUUAGCAUAACACUUAUGCUCCCACUAGCUUUGACAUGUACUCAGAAAUCAGCUGGACUUCUAGAAAUCAAUACUUUAUUGACAUUCUUACCGAAGUUCAGAUUUCUGAUACUAGAUUGCUUUGAUAAGACUUUAUCAAAAUCAUACACCUUAUCUUAGAUAGCUCACAAGUGUGUCUGAACAAUUUCAGAACUAUGAAAAGGGAUGCCGUAAUCAUAGUCUCAAUUGUUUAGACCUUUUGCCAAUUCUCAUAAGUCAAUGUUAGUGUGCCAGUUAACCACGCACGUUCCACUAACGAGUUUGAGAACUGCAAAUAUCACAAUUGCUAUCUACUUAGUGAAAGAAUUUCCUCACCAUCAUUUUCAUGAAUCGGAGAGAAACCUUAUGACACUUAGAUUUUAUGGUGCAUGUGUUCUUAUCCAUGUGAAUUGUCAAAACCAUAGUCACAAGACAAGGAUAAUGACAAAUCCAAACUCAUAUGGAUUGAACUCAAUCUUAAUUUCUUGCCACCUGGCAGCUCAAGGGCCUGUCAUUACUUCCAAGUCAUUAUGCAACCAAUUGAGAACUCUAAGAACUCAUAUGCAAAGCCAACUUUAACUAGAAUGGGCACAGAAUAUGUCAACACGAUAGGUUAUAAACCUCAAGUUGUGUGCUAGUGAUGAAAUACAUGAUUACUUCUUGAAACCCUUUUAGGAACUUUUCGACUCCCCCUGUCUCCUUGACCGAUAAGACUUUCUUGCCAAAUAUUCAAGAGAUAGUGUGGAUUCUAAUCAAGACAGACACUUAACACAAUUAGCCCUAGUUGGUCUUUGUUUUAUCCAAAACAUCACAACUUACCAAUUUCAAAUGUACAAGAGUAGAAAACUUUUACUCUUACAUUUGACAAGUGUUUUAAACCUUCUUUAAGAUAUGCCACUAAAGUUACAAUCUUAGAGCAUAACUCUACGAAUUGUUUUGGAAUGAAGUAUGAAUCAUCUUCUUGAUUUAACCACUUCAACAAUUCAUAACUCCUCUUCUUAACUAUCAUAAUGCACUUAGAGGAUGAAUUGUGAUAAGGUCUCAAAAUCAUUAAGAUGAUCUUAAAACCUGAUACUAAAGUACUCUCCCAUCUUUUCAGAUUUGAGAAACUUUUAUCCUUCUGCCUAAUUUGAUUCUUCUUAUUCAUUCUGUCAUACAUUGAAAUUAUUUCAAUGUUUCAGAAUUAUACUUAAGCUUGUAAGUACAAUCAUAUUUACUAAACCUUAGUAAAUCAUGAUGAAUAGUCUUAUCCAUCUUUUGUGGUGGACUCUGACAAGUGCACAAGAAAGUGUACUUGAUCCCUUAGUCCUUCUCUUGAGUCACAUAUAUAUGUGAACACGGAACUAGUCUUAAUUUUCCAAAGUUGAAAAAUUCUUACACAUCACACUCAACACCUUGUAUGAUUCCAAGUUUCGGUCCAAUUGAAACUUGGGUGAUGAGAAUAUUUCCUUAUUUGGUAAAUUUAGACAUUACCACAAAUGAAAGAAUCAAAUUCAUAUUUCCAAUAUUGCUAUAAACAUACAAACAUCAAGUUUUCAUGAAUGUCAUUGUAAGGAGAUAAAAAUAAAGUAAAACAAACUUUUAUUUAUUUUAAAAUGCGGAAAAACUUUUUCUUUACAAUGAAACUUGAAAUGAAAACUAUGUUAUUACAUGUUUCCUAGAAAUAUAUCAUAACUCCUAAGAAGUAGCUCAAGAAUCUGAUCUUCACGGUCAAAUUCAGCAUACUCUUUUUUUAAGUUUCCUUCAUUUUUCCUUUGAUUCUUAAAACAUCAACAUGUGACCCAGUCACAUCAUGUAAUAAGAAUCUCAUAAUAGAAACUUAAUAGAGUUUGAUAGUGAACUUUUGUAAGGUCGAACAUUAUAAUAUGAUGAUGUUUGAGACUGAUCACUAAGCGUCAGCGUCAGCGUAUUAAUUGUUCAGUGUAUAGUUUCAUAUUCAGCAUUUUGUAACAGAUUUUGUACUUAUCUAGUUUCCAUAGUUUUCGUCUAUUAGUUAGUUGGUAUAUCCCUGAUUUGUAGGGAUUGCCUAGAUUAGUUCUAUAUAGUCUUUUGUACAAGUUUGUGAAAGGGGCAUCUUUCACAAACCCUAAUAGCCGCUUUGUGCAUUCGAUAAUCUCUUUGUGAGAUUAUCAUUCUUAGUGAAAGUUUAUCUUCGUGAAUCCUCGUUGUUCUUGUUUAUAGUCAUUGUUUGAUAAUUUGUUUGAUCUUAGGAACUUUCAAUUGGUAUCAGAGCAGUGUUCUCUUAUCAAACAAAUGGCUUCAUCGUCUUCUUCUUUAAACUCAUCAAAUCAUUCUUCUGCUAAAAUUCCUCCAUUUGAUGAAACCAAUUUCGCUAUGUGGAAAAUCAAAGCUCUCUAUGAAUUGGAAUCUGUAGAUGAAGACAUGUUGGACAUCGUCAAUGAUGGUCCAUAUGUUCCGAUGUAUCGGCCCUUGAAAAACAAUGUUCCUAAUGGUGACAUGAAGAAAACACCUAGGGAGAACUAGACAAUAGAUGACAAAAGAAAUAAUGGUCUAGAUGUACGUGCUCGGGCUGCAAUCAGCUAUGCUUUGCCAUAUAAUAUCUUUGGGUUGGUUCCAGGGGCGAGUCUAUGUGUAUUGAAGGUGGGUCACUUGACCCACCUAAUUUUCUUUUCCUUAUAAGAGUUCAUUGAUAAAUAUAAAUUGUGACCUAUCUUAAAUAUUUAAAGUGAACUACCUUAAAUCAAUUUUAUGUUUUUGAAAAAAAAAAAAGGUAUAAAUCAAGAUUCUUAAAGACCACAUUUUAUAUUUUAUGACCAAAUAUUCAAUUCAUUUAAGAUAUAAUCCAAUAAAAAUAGUUCAAAAUAAGUUAAACAUAGAUAAAAGAAAAAAGGCAAAACAAAGAGGUGUUUUUACCACGUCGUUUCUUCUCCCGCUUUAUACGGGAUAGACAUAUGACUAUAUAUAUAUAUAUAUAUAUAUAUAUAUAUAUAUAUAUAUAUAUAUAUANNNNNNNNNNNNNNNNNNNNNNNNNNNNNNNNNNNNNNNNNNNNNNNNNNNNNNNNNNNNNNNNNNNNNNNNNNNNNNNNNNNNNNNNNNNNNNNNNNNNNNNNNNNNNNNNNNNNNNNNNNNNNNNNNNNNUAUAUAUAUAUAUAUUAAUUUUCUAUUGAACCCACUUAGUGAACCACGUGAUUUUACUUUCUAGACUCGCCACUGGUUGGUUCAGAACUGCAUCUCAGCAAAAGAAAUGAUGGACACGCUGACUGUGUCUUUUGAAGGCACUGAGGAAGUCAAGGCUACUCAGAUAAAUGAUCUAAACAGAAGGUAUGAACAUUUCUUUGCAAAGAAAGGUGAAACCCUGACUCAAACCUUCAACAGGUUUAAUACUCUUGUUAAUGAUCUGCGGAGACUAGAUCAGUUGAAGCAUCGAACUGUUCUAGUGUAGAAGUUUUUGGAUUCUCUGGGUGCAGGUUGGGAGAAUCAUGUUGAUGUGCUGAAAAAUAGUGAGAAGAUCAGCACAAUGGAUUUACAUAGUCUUUAUGGAAACCUUCGAUACUAUGAGGAAUCCAAGCUCCAGAGAAAGGAGCUGAUGAAGGAUGCUCAGCGUGAGUCAUCUGUGGCAUUAUUUUCAAACAAAAAGCAAGUGUUAGAGUCAGACACUGAAAACCAUUCAGACACUGAUUCUUCUAAAAGUGAGACUGAUGAUAUGGAAAAGGUAGUUGCUAGUGCUGCUUUCAUUGUGAAGACUUUUGAGAAAUCAGGCCGUAAUUUCUCAAAGUUUCAGAAGAGGAUGGAUGGGAAAUCUUCUAAAAGGUUAGAUGCCGACAAGAAACAUGUAACCGAAAAGAAAGGCAAAGCUCAGUGCUUUAACUGUGGUAGCAUUGAUCAUUUUGCAAAAGAAUGCAAGCAAAGAAGAACCCAAAGCUCGGAGGAAUACUGGAAGCAGAAGUACAACAAGUUGGUUGAGAAGCUGAAAGCAGAGAACUUGGAACAUAAAGUUCUUGUCGCUGAAGAAGAAAAAUGGAAGACUGAUGAGGAGUCAUCAGAUGAUGAAGUUAAAUGUCUGAUGGCUAAGAUAGAAGAUGCUGAUGAACGUGAAGUCAGCAACAGUUCGUUUGAUGCUGAUAUGUCUGAUGCAGUUGAAAACUCUAGGAAGCACAACAUAGAUUCCCCUUCAAUGUAUCAGGUUCAAAUUUUUGUUUCCUAUUCAAUGAAUGAAAAAAUCAAAAUGUUUGAGUAUUUGGGUGUUCUUAAUUCUAAGAAGAAUCAAAUCAUAAGGGAUAUGCAGAAUCAAAUUGAUCUUCUUAAAACUGAACUAUCCUUGAAAAAUAACAUUAUUGACACUACUCAGGAAAAUCUAAGUGUUACUAGUUUAUCAAAUUCCUCGAUGUCUACUGAAAUUGAUAAAGUUAAAGACCUCUUGAACAAAGAACAAACUGUGCUACAACUUUGGGCUAAAUCUCACAAAAAUGCUAAUUAUGUCAUUUCUGCUCAAAUACCUCAUUCAUGUCAGAAAAUUCUUGGGGGAAAUUUUGCUGAAGCUGAAAAAGUUUUUAAAUCUCAUGAAAAAAAAUCUAAAUUUUAUUCCAUGAAUGAAUUACAAUAUAGUUUCAAAAACAAGUUUAUCAGCAACACUUUUGUUAAUCAGAGUCUCAUUGAUGAAUACUGUGUUACUGAUUCUAAUGGUGUUACUAAGUGUGAUAUUGAAAUUAUCGGAAUUGAUCCUACUUCUUACCCUGCACAUCUUGAGAGACCAACUCCUCUCACUGAAAAUAUUAUCGCAUUUCCUAUCUCAAAUGGAUUGUUUCAUGCUGUUCUUGAACAACUUAAGCAUUAUCCUGAUUGCAGUGUUUCAGUGCAUAAGUCUAAAUCUGAUACUGAUGUCAGCUCCUCAUCCAUCACUGAUCAUAGUUCUUCUGACACUGAAUUCAGUUGUAAUUCAAUGUCAAACAAAAGGACUCAAAGUUCACUUGGUGGAUCUUACAAAUCCAAAUGUGUUAAAUCUAGAAAUCUGCUCACCAAGAAAAACUUUGGUACUAGAGUUUGUUACAGAUGUGGUGACACCUCUCACAAGAUAAGUGAAUGCAAGUUUGAUAAAACAUCUUUAAGAGCUAACAACAUUAAAGUUAGAAAUGAAAGAUGGACUCUUAAAUCAAAUUCUUUGAACUGUCUUCCUAAAGAGUGCUAUAAUAUAUUGUCAAAUAACUUUGUGAAUGACCCAUUUUACAAUGGGUCAGUGUGUUCUAACUAGUUUCUCAGCACUGCAGGGUCAAGAGCGUAUUUGGUACUUAGACAGUGGUUGCUCAAGACAUAUGACAGGAUCCAAGUCUCUCCUGGAAGACUAUGUCAAGAAAACUGGUCCUGUAGUAACAUAUAGAGACAAUGGAAAGGGGUUUACUAAAGGAUAUGGGAACAUCAAGUGCAAUAAUGUGGUGUUUCAGAAUGUUUCAUAUGUAAAGGGUCUCAAACACAAUCUUAUCUCAAUCAGCCAAUUGUGUGAUGCUGAUUAUGAAGUUCAUUUUACAAAGAAGGAAGGAAGAGUCAUCAACACUGACAAGAACAUUGCACUCUCAGCAAGUAGAAAAGAUGAUAUAUAUGUUCUUGACAUGUUCUCAAGUGACAAGGCACUGAUGCAAUGUUUCUUUACCAAGUCUCAAACCAAUCUCAGCUGGAUUUGGCAAAAAAAGGUUCUCUCAUUUGAACUUUAAGAAUCUAUCUAAAAUAUCCAAUCAAGAUCUAGUUAGAGGUCUCCCAAAAUUCAGCUUUGUCAAAGACAAGAUGUGCUCAGCGUGUGAACAAGGAAAGCAAACCAAGUCAUCAUUCAAACCCAAUUCAUGUUCUAGCAUAUAUGUUCCUCUUUAUUUACUACACAUGGACUUGUUUGGACCUAUUCCUGUUCGUUCCCAAGGAGGAAACAAGUAUAAGCUGGUGGUUGUGGAUGAGUUUACUCGAUUUACAUGGGUGGUUUUCUUGAAGAAGAAAGGUCAAGCUGUACAGGAAAUUAUCUCACUGAUUCGACAAAACGAGACGCUGACUGGUCUCAAAGUUAAGCAGCUAAGGAGUGAUCAUGGCACUGAGUUCCGGAAUUCGACUCUUGAAUACUUUUGUGAUUUUAAAGGUAUUGGGUAGAACUUUUCAGCUCCUCGCAUGCCUCAACAAAAUGGAGUUGCUGAACGAAGAAAUCGAACACUGAUUGAGGCAGGAAGGACCUUAAUGAUUCAUGCUGGGCUUCCUAUGUCGUUUUGGGCUGAAGCUGUUAAUACAGCAUGUUAUACUCAGAAUCGCUCUCUAAUUCACAGGGUUCACAAGAAGACACCAUAUGAGAUGCUGAAAGGUCAAAAGCCGGACGUAUCCUUCUUUCAUGUGUUUGGAUGCAUUUGUUAUAUUCUUAAUCAGUGCGACCCCAGAUCAAAAUUUGAGCCUAAGACUGACAAAGGUAUUUUUGUUGGAUAUUCAUCUAUUUCAAAGGCUUUUCGUAUUUUUCAUGUGAACAUGCAAUGCAUUGAGGAAUCCAUUCAUGUAAAGUUUGAUGAAGAACCCUACACUGAUGAAAAAGUAGCUCAUUCCCCUUCUAUUUUUCAAGAGCUUCUCUCCUGUCCAUCUGAUGAAGUCUCACAUACUGAAGAAGAAGUUGUCAUUCCUGAUCCUAUCGUUCCAGGCCCAAGUCCUGUCAAUCAAGGCACUGCGGUCAGCACGGCAACUCUUUUGUCAGAUGCUGAUGAAACCCUUGAAUCUGAAGAAUCUCAUGUAAUUGAUGUUCCUUUCAUUGAUAACUCUUCAGCGUCAAACUCAUUGGAAUCAGCUCCAAAACAUCGAGAUCACCCUUUUGAUCAAAUUAUUGGGAAUCUUCAUGAUGGUGUCCAAACCAGAUCUCGUGUAUCUAAUAAUUUUUGCAUGUAUGUUAACUUUGUUUCAAUGAUCUUACCUGACAAGAUACACUCAGCACUUCAACACGCUGACUGGAUUAAAGCCAUGCAAGACGAGCUGAAUGAGUUCAAAAGGCACAAGGUUUGGACUCUUGUUCCCAGACCAUCAGGAAAGACCAUCACAGGAACACGCUGGGUCUAUCGAAACAAGGUUGAUAAAGAUGGUGUUAUUACUCACAACAAAGCAAGACUUGUUGCUCAGGGUUCACUCAAAUUGAAUCUAUUGAUUACGGGGAGACUUUUGCUCCAGUUGCCCACAUUGAAGCAAUCAGACUGUUCCUUGCAUAUGCUUCAUACAUGAACUUCAUUGUCUACCAGAUGGAUGUCAAAACAGCAUUUCUUCAUGGUGUGUUAGAAGAAGAAGUCUUUCUCAAACAGCCCCCAGGUUUUGAAGACAAAGAGCACCCUGACUAUGUGUACAGACUAGAUAAAGUUGUAUAUGGACUGAAGCAAGCUCCCAGGGCCUGGUAUGAGACGCUGACAUCAUAUCUCCUUGAAAAUGGCUACAGAAGAGGAGCAAUUGAUAAUACACUCUUCAUCGUAAACAAAGGCUCGGACAUGAUUCUUGUUCAAAUCUAUGUCGAUGAUAUCAUCUUUGGCUCUCCAAAUGAGAAGCUGAGCAAGGAAUUCGCUGAGAUCAUGUCUCAAAGGUUCGAGAUGAGCAUGAUGGGGAAGAUGACCUUUUUUCUUAGGUCUUGAGGUUCAGCAACAAAAAUCAGGCAUCUCAAUUUGUCAAAGUAAAUAUAUUGCUGACAUGCUUGUUAAGUACUUUCUCAGCGACCGCAAACCGGCCUCUACUCCGGUGUCCAAGACUGAUAAGCUACACGUUGAUCCCACUGGCACUGAUGUUAAUCAUUCUCUUUAUCGAGGAAUGAUUGGAUCUCUUCUUUACCUCACUGCAAGUCGCCCUGAUAUCAUGUUUGGAACCAUUCUCUGUGCUAGAUUCCAAGCUAAUCCCAAGGAGUCUCAUCUCAUUACAGUUAAACGCAUUUUUCGAUACUUAAAGGGCGCUCAGAACUUGGCAUUGUGGUACCCUCGUGACUCAGCACUUCAGGUGGAUGUCAUUUCCUUGGAAAUCGACUAAUCAGCUGGUCUAGCAAGAAGCAAACCUCAAUAGCUAUCUCCACUGCAGAAGCUGAGUAUGUUGCAACUGGGAGAUGUUGUGCUCAACUCUUAUGGAUUCAGAAUUAGCUUUUAGACUAUGGGAUUAAAGUCACAAAGACUCCUAUAUACUGUGAUAACACCAGUGCCAUUCAGAUCACACAGAAUCCUGUUCAGCACUCAAAGACAAAGCAUAUCGAGAUCAGACAUCACUUCAUCAGAGACAAUGUUGAGAAGGGCAAGGUUGUUCUAGAACAUGUCAAGACUUCAGAUCAACUAGCUGAUAUUUUCACCAAGGCCCUGGAUACUCAAACUACUGCUCACAUUAUUGGAGAACUUGGAAUGAUCACUCUGGAUUAAAAAAAUGUUUUACUAAUGUUUGCUAUUGUCUUAUAAACUGAUGUAUUUUUUUUGCUGAUGAUGAUGUGCUGAUGAUGUUUACCAUGCUGAGUACCUUGUAUGAUCUCUUAUCUCUAUCUCUUCUACAAAUCUUCUAAACUAAAGUUGAAUGAUUCACUUUAUUAAACCAUACACAGAUAACAACUUGAAACUCUUUGCCGAUGGUUAGACAAAACACCAAGAUCUAUCACACGCAACUAUCCCUUCUUACCAAUCUUACACUGAUUCUGUGAUUCUGUGUGACAAAACACAUGCUGAUGAGAGUCUAACAGUCUUUGCCAAUGGUUAGACCAAAACACCAAGGUCUAUCACACGCAACAAUCCUCUCUUCACCUUCUUCUCACUCAGUGUCUAAUGAUUCAGUAAGAAGCACCACUCACUGAUAAAGACUCAACACUCUGUGUCGAUGGUUAGAUAAUUAAACCAGUAUCUAUCACAUGCACCAACCACCUUGCUAACCUUAAACAAGCAAGUUGUACCUUGAAUUGACGACAUAUUAUCUUUCAGCAUGUAACUUUUAGUGACACUGAUCUCAGCGCUUCCGCAGACACUGAUUGUCGUUUCCUCUUCAAUACAACGGCUUGUUUUACCCAACGGCUAUUUUUUCGGAUUUGACAGUUUGUUAAGAUACGUAGUUAUUUUCAAAAAAGAUAAUCAUUACCUUUUUAAAACCGUUUAAUCCCAUAUUUAAACCUUAUUCCCCACCUCUCUCCCAAACUUUCCUCCCACAAUUCAAAUUUCCUUCUCUUUUCUUCAAAACCCUAGAAUCCAAACUCUCUUCAAUGGCGGCAUCACUGUUUACUUUCUCCUCCACCUCAAGAAGAGUCAUCCCAGCUCCAAACUCUCCUCCUCUUCCCAUACACAUCAAAGCCACAAAUGUCGUCUUCAACCCUGAUAUACCAGAUGUUCAUCGCGGUCUUGGACUUGAUGAUUUUGUCAAUUUUCUAGUAUCUUGCAGACUUUGAUAUGCUAUCAGUAAGGCUCCAUCAGAGUUCUUUCCCGAACAAGUAUGUGAGUUCUACUACACCGCAACAGUCAAUAACGAAAACAACAUCAUCUCCGACACUAUUGGGCGUGGCCGUCGCUCAGUUUUCAUCAACGCUGAUCUCCUCCAUACUGCACUCAGGUUACCAAUUUUUGAACCAUUCUCUAAGCUUCCAACUAUUGAACGCUGUCGACACCUCUUUGACCAACUGGGCUAUGAUCACUCCAAGGCUUGUGCUCGACCAGCUCUCAUUCUACGUCAAUGUAUGACUCUUGGAUGGAAGUUCUUCACCGGGGCACUUUGUAAGUGUAUAGGCCACAAAUCUCGCCGUGGUGAUCAACUGAGUGCUUUUGAGCAACAAGUGGUAUGUUCACUUCUCCUCAACAAACGUGUUGAUUAUGGGGCUUUCUUCUUCGAUCAGCUUGUCCAACUUCUUCGAGCCAAUGUAUGAGUUGAUCAUGUUCCGUUUCCAUGCUGGAUUGCUCUUGUCCUGGAUAAAUUUUAUGCUGAAGCCUAUUACUCACACGCUGGAAACCCCAUCCAAUGCCCACGCAUGUCAGUAUGAAUGUAUCAGGAUGAUCCACUGGCCAAUGACAUCGGCAUCUCUGAUCGGAUGCGAGAAUGGAUCGCGAAUCCAUAUACCGUUCCUUCACUAAAUGCUGACACUGACGAAGGAGCUGCUGAUAACGACGAAACUAAUGCUGAAAUACAAGUUGAUCCUAGCCAAGAAGGUGGUCAUAUCUCCCCUCAACUUUCUCACCAUACCAUUUCUGCCACUGAAAGGGUUCAUUCAGCUCAUGGGGAGUCAUCUGCUCAGGGGGAGCAACCAUCUCAGGGAGAGCAACCAUCUCAAGGGGAACAACCUUUUCAGGGGGAGCAGCAUCAAUCACAAGAAAUUCCAGGUACUCAGCUCAUUCAAAUUCCGGCCUCAGUGUUUAAUGAGCUUCUUACACUGACUCGAGAUAUGAGUUAGGGUCUUCUAUGUAUUGAGGCUGAUGUCAACCAACUGAAGGGAGUUCUUCUGUCAACUCCUUCCCCUGGCCCAAGUGAUGAUGAUGAUCAAAAAAGAGGAGAAAAUGAUUCUGUUGAUAGAACCUGUGAGCAUGGAUCUGGGGGGAACAUUGUUAAACAGACCGAGCCACCACAACCUGCGCACGAGUCUGAGAGACUUGCAGAAACUGAAAAGCCUACUGAAGAUAGUGAACAUGAUGAUGAAGAUGAACAUGAUGAUGAGUGUCAGAUGCUGGACAUGAACUUCAUGGAUCCCACUGUGUCAGUUCAAGGUGAAGACUCAGAUGUAGUUAGUGAGGAUCUUGUUCCUUUGUCUCGAAAGCGAAAGGCAGCAGAUACUGAAUCAUCUGAUUCACAUGCUGACACUUCUCCUCCUAGCAAGAAACAUAAGUCCAUUGUCAGCAUAUCAAAUCUGGCAGCUGAAUGGAAUAUGACCCCUGAUCAAGUUAAGCAAAUCCUUGACGAAGCCAAUAAAGCUCAGCUUCUAAAGAGUAUUGCUCAAGCUGAUGAAUCCCUCAUUCAGCACAAACUUCAGGCAAUAGGAUCCUUUGAAGCUCAAAUGCAAAGGUUUCUAGAAUAUCAGUCCAAAACUAAAUCUUCACAGCCUCCUUCCAGUAGCAGUAAGUCAAGGACUGAUAGUGCUCUUGACAGGAUCGAUCGCAAAAGGUUUCAAGAUGUUUUCAAACGAAGAGUAAGCAAUGACGAGAUCAUCAAAGUUAAAACCUCAAAACCUCGUGACGAGAAAAUUCUUACUUUGCUGAUCACUCGUCAAGGUCCUCAACAUCCGUACACUGAAGUUAUAAAGAGAGACGAGAUGAUUAGAUACGGAUACUCUGAAUGGAUGGAAUUGCUCGAGUUGGCAUCCAAGCAAACUUCAGCUCUUUCUUCAGAACUGACCUGUGCUCUUCACUUACUGAUCAAGAAAGUUGAGCGUCUUGAUCUUGUUCCUAAAGAGCGUCCUCAGCAGCAAGGCCCAAGUUCCUCAGUUCCAAGAAUCAGAAGAACUAGAUUUCAAGUUGAUGGUUAAGAUGUAUUGGUUCUAAAUUUUGGUGCUGAAGAAAUAAACAACUCUCUUCCUAUUGGUGUUGAGCCGGUUCAACAUCAGUUCAUCUCUGUUCCUGAACAUGGAAUGUUUUAUCUUGAUAAGAACAGGAAAAUGUGUUUUCAGCGUACUACAAAGAUUCCAAGGGCUCCAACAGAACAUCUUGUUGGUUUAAGAAAAAUGUGCAUGAGUCAUCGAGAUCUCUCUGGAGAGUUUCAUAUACUGAUUGCUAUGGAGUUACUGAAUAGAAGAUAGGAGCUGCUAGAUAGUCCUUACUGGCCAGUGAAAGUAGAAGCUGAAGCUGAGUAUGAAGAAUUUUUGUCCAGGGGUGUUCAAGUCUAGCUGGUUUUGAACAUCAUCAUAUUGGGGGAGAUUGUAAGGUCGAACCUUAUAAUAUGAUGAUGUUUGAGACUGAUCACUCAGCGUCAGCGUCAGCGUAUUAAUUGUUCAGUGUAUAGUUUCAUAUUCAACAUUUUGUAACAGAUUUUGUACUUAUCUAGUUUCCAUAGUUUUCGUCUAUUAGUUAGUUGGUAUAUCCCUGAUUUUUAGGGAUUGCUUAGAUUAGUUCUAUAUAGUCUUUUGUACAAGUUUGUGAAAGGGGCAUCUUUCACAAACCCUAAUAGCCGCUUUGUGCAUUCGAUAAUCUCUUUGUGAGAUUAUCAUUCUUAGUGAAAGUUUAUCUUCGUGAAUCCUCGUUGUUCUUGUUUAUAGUCAUUGCUUGAUAAUUUGUUUGAUCUUAGGAACUUUCAACUUUACCCGAUGUAGAGUCAAACUUAUUGACUUUACCAACUUUAUGAUCUUUCAGGUAAAUUUGGCAGCUUCGCAACCAAUGUCUUUUCCGUUUUGGCAAUAGAACCAUAUGGAUCCUUUGGGAAUGGUAAAUGGGAUAAUCUCAGACUUAGCCUUUCUCUUUACCAUUUGGUCAACCGAGUUGACUAUGGCCGAUCCCUUUCCAUUGGGAAGAGAAUGCUUUUUCUGGAUUUACAGUUUCACCAUUUUCAAUGUCCAUUAAGUUUUGGGAAGUCGAUCUUGUAAUCAAAUUUGCUUUACUAGCCUUUCAAAUCAUUGUUGAUUCAGUAGCACCAAGCAAAUAGAUAAGAUCNNNNNNNNNNNNNNNNNNNNNNNNNNNNNNNNNNNNNNNNNNNNNNNNNNNNNNNNNNNNNNNNNNNNNNNNNNNNNNNNNNNNNNNNNNNNNNNNNNNNACCAACUGAAGGGAGUUCUUCUGUCAACUCCUUCCCCUGGCCCAAGUGAUGAUGAUGAUCAAAAAAGAGGAGAAAAUGAUUCUGUUGAUAGAACCUGUGAGCAUGGAUCUGGGGGGAACAUUGUUAAACAGACCGAGCCACCACAACCUGCGCACGAGUCUGAGAGACUUGCAGAAACUGAAAAGCCUACUGAAGAUAGUGAACAUGAUGAUGAAGAUGAACAUGAUGAUGAGUGUCAGAUGCUGGACAUGAACUUCAUGGAUCCCACUGUGUCAGUUCAAGGUGAAGACUCAGAUGUAGUUAGUGAGGAUCUUGUUCCUUUGUCUCGAAAGCGAAAGGCAGCAGAUACUGAAUCAUCUGAUUCACAUGCUGACACUUCUCCUCCUAGCAAGAAACAUAAGUCCAUUGUCAGCAUAUCAAAUCUGGCAGCUGAAUGGAAUAUGACCCCUGAUCAAGUUAAGCAAAUCCUUGACGAAGCCAAUAAAGCUCAGCUUCUAAAGAGUAUUGCUCAAGCUGAUGAAUCCCUCAUUCAGCACAAACUUCAGGCAAUAGGAUCCUUUGAAGCUCAAAUGCAAAGGUUUCUAGAAUAUCAGUCCAAAACUAAAUCUUCACAGCCUCCUUCCAGUAGCAGUAAGUCAAGGACUGAUAGUGCUCUUGACAGGAUCGAUCGCAAAAGGUUUCAAGAUGUUUUCAAACGAAGAGUAAGCAAUGACGAGAUCAUCAAAGUUAAAACCUCAAAACCUCGUGACGAGAAAAUUCUUACUUUGCUGAUCACUCGUCAAGGUCCUCAACAUCCGUACACUGAAGUUAUAAAGAGAGACGAGAUGAUUAGAUACGGAUACUCUGAAUGGAUGGAAUUGCUCGAGUUGGCAUCCAAGCAAACUUCAGCUCUUUCUUCANUCUGAAUGGAUGGAAUUGCUCGAGUUGGCAUCCAAGCAAACUUCAGCUCUUUCUUCAGAACUGACCUGUGCUCUUCACUUACUGAUCAAGAAAGUUGAGCGUCUUGAUCUUGUUCCUAAAGAGCGUCCUCAGCAGCAAGGCCCAAGUUCCUCAGUUCCAAGAAUCAGAAGAACUAGAUUUCAAGUUGAUGGUUAAGAUGUAUUGGUUCUAAAUUUUGGUGCUGAAGAAAUAAACAACUCUCUUCCUAUUGGUGUUGAGCCGGUUCAACAUCAGUUCAUCUCUGUUCCUGAACAUGGAAUGUUUUAUCUUGAUAAGAACAGGAAAAUGUGUUUUCAGCGUACUACAAAGAUUCCAAGGGCUCCAACAGAACAUCUUGUUGGUUUAAGAAAAAUGUGCAUGAGUCAUCGAGAUCUCUCUGGAGAGUUUCAUAUACUGAUUGCUAUGGAGUUACUGAAUAGAAGAUAGGAGCUGCUAGAUAGUCCUUACUGGCCAGUGAAAGUAGAAGCUGAAGCUGAGUAUGAAGAAUUUUUGUCCACGGGUGUUCAAGUCUAGCUGGUUUUGAACAUCAUCAUAUUGGGGGAGAUUGUAAGGUCGAACCUUAUAAUAUGAUGAUGUUUGAGACUGAUCACUCAGCGUCAGCGUAUGACUCAGUGUCAGCGUCAGCGUCAGCGUCAGCGUAUUAAUUGUUAAGUGUAUAGUUUCAUAUUCAGCAUUUUGUAACAGAUUUUUUACUUAUCUAGUUUCCAUAGUUUUCGUCUAUUAGUUAGUUGGUAUAUCCCUGAUUUGUAGGGAUUGCCUAGAUUGGUUCUAUAUAGUCUUUUGUACAAGUUUGUGAAAGGUGCAUCUUUCACAAACCCUAAUAGCCGCUUUGUGCAUUCGAUAAGCUCUUUGUGAGAUUAUCAUUCUUAGUGAAAGUUUAUCUUCGUGAAUCCUCGUUGUUCUUGUUUAUAGUCAUUGUUUGAUAAUUUGUUUGAUCUUAGGAACUUUCAAUUGGUAUCAGAGCAGUGUUCUCUUAUCAAACAAAUGGCUUCAUCGUCUUCUUCUUUAAACUCAUCAAAUCAUUCUUCUGCUAAAAUUCCUCCAUUUGAUGAAACCAAUUUUGCUAUGUGGAAAAUCAAAGCUCUUUAUGCAUUGGAAUCUGUAGAUGAAGACAUGUUGGACAUCAUCAAUGAUGGUCCAUAUGUUCCGAUGUAUCAGCCCUUGAAAAACAAUGUUCCUGAUGGUGACAUGAAGAAAACACCUAGGGAGAACUGGACAAUAGAUGACAAAAGAAAGAAUGGUCUAGAUGUAUGUGCUCGGGCUGCAAUCAGCUAUGCUUUGCCGUAUAAUAUCUUUGGGCUGGUUCAGAACUGCAUCUCAGCAAAAGAAAUGAUGGACACGCUGACUGUGUCUUUUGAAGGCACUGAGGAAGUCAGGGCCACUCAGAUAAAUGAUCUAAACAGAAGGUAUGAACAUUUCUUUGCAAAGAAAGGUGAAACCCUGACUCAAACCUUCAACAAGUUUAAUACUCUUGUUAAUGAUCUGCGGAGACUAGAUCAGUUGAAGCAUCGAACUGUUCUAGUGCAGAAGUUUUUGGAUUCUUUGGGUGCAGGUUGGGAGAAUCAUGUUGGUGUGCUGAAAAAUAGUGAGAAGAUCAGCAUAAUGGAUUUACAAAGUCUUUAUGGAAACCAUCGAUACUAUGAGGAAUCCAAGCUCUAGAGAAAGGAGCUAAAGAAGGAUGCUCAGCAUGAGUCAUCAGUGGCAUUAUUUUCAAACAAAAAGCAAGUGUCAGAGUCAGACACUGAAAACCAUUCAGACACUGAUUCUUCUAAAAGUGAGACUGAUGAUAUGGAAAAGGUAGUUGCUAGUGUUGCUUUCAUUGUGAAGACUUUUGAGAAAUCAGGCCGUAAUUUCUCAAAGUUUCAGAAGAGGAUGGAUGGGAAAUCUUCUAAAAGGUUAGAUGCCGACAAGAAACAUGUUACCGAAAAGAAAGGAAAAGCUCAGUGCUUUAACUGUGGUAGCACUGAUCAUUUUGCAAAAGAAUGCAAGCAAAGAAGAACCCAAAGCUCGGAGGAAUACUGGAAGCAGAAGUACAACAAGUUGGUUAAGAAGCUGAAAGCGGAGAACUUGGAACAUAAAGCUCUUGUCGCUGAAGAAGAANAAAACAAGGUGUGAAGUAAUCAUGCAAAUUACUUGGUACCCUUAAGUGUUUACCCCUCAAUCGAUGUGUCGGUUAACCACACACGCUCCAUAGAUACUAUGAUAAACAUUAAGUUAUCCUUUGCCUACCUUGUUAAAUACAAGUUAGUGUGCCGGUUAACCAUACACACUCCAGUAACCGACUUAAACAAAGUGCAAAGUAUAAUUUCAUGGAUUAGCACCUUAUUCAUAUUUUCCUAAGUAACUAAGAUUAGGUAUUUAUAAAAGUUUAGUUACUUAGUAUUUAUCAUUAAUACUUUUAAUGAAGGGAGAAUUUAUAGUCUUUGUCCUACCCGUUCGGCUAACGACCCUCCACCAAUCAAGGAAGCGGUGGGUGAGAGUGGACACCCAUUAAACUGUCAUUUUAUAGGCAGUAACCUUAUACCCCCUUAUAGAUCGGCUUCGUGAAUGAGGCCUACUAACGGUAAGACUGACUUUACUCUUAUACAUAUAUAUAAAUAUUAUUAACUUAUAAUAUUAUAAAGUAUAAGGGUUGAAUUUUAACUUUUAAAAUUCUAAGGGCUAACUUGGAAUUAAAAUAUUCAUAAGUGAAAACUUUUCAAAUUCCAAAACUUGAGGGAAAGUUUUGAAACUAUUCAAAACUAAUUAAUUCCAUAACUUAUGUGUUUAAAGUAUUUUAAUUAAAAAACUCUUCAAGUUCCAUAACUUGAGGACAAGUUAUGGAAGACUUUAAACUAAUAAAAGAAUGUAACUUCUCUUUAUAUUGUAACUUAUGAAAUUAAUUAAGGUCACAUUUUAUUACUUAAUGAAGUCACUCUUGAACCUCCAUAACUUGAGGACAAGACUCUUCAUUUUUGUAACCAUUGCCAACUUUUAUGAGUUUUAUGAAACUUAAAUGUGACUUUUCAUAUAACUUGAGGACAAGUUACAAAAACACAUUUUAGAAUCAACUCUUAGAUUAAAAUGGAUUGAAAACACAUAAUCAAUUAACUUAUCUAUUAAUCUAAGCAACUCAUAUGAACAAAGAUAAUUCACAUCAAACUUUUUCAUGUAAUUAGCAUAACUUUUAAAGUAAUACAAAACAUGAAUCUAUUGACAAUUAUCUUUGAAAUUGGAUUAGCAUGAACAUUACCACAUCAAAAACAAGUUUAUAAGUUCAAAAACAACUUAUGGUAAUGUUCCUAGUCCAAUUCUAGCCAAAAACCACGAAGAUAUGUUGUCUGGAGGCCAAACUCGUCGAGUUCUUCAUGGAACUCGUCGAGUUCAUGCUCUAAUACAUGAACUCGUCGAGUUUUCUACUAGAACUCGUCGAGUUUUAGACCCUGACAGAUUCUUGGCUUCGAAAAAUCUAUUUGCAUCAAGUAUAAGAGAAAGCAAGCCUAGGCUCUAAUACCACUGUUGGGUUUUGAGCAUUCUAACACUCCUAUGGUGUACAUGCAACCCUAUAAACCUUGGAUCUAUGUUUUCUUUUUAUACAUGCAAAUAAGAACUUUCCAAGGCUUUAAUCCUAACUAGCAUAAUAUGAGGCAACUAUACUACAAAGACUAGUUAAAUGACAUACCUUUUGAUGUAGCUUGAUGUCUUCAAGCUUUAAGAGCUUAGCCCCAAUAGUGUGGAAUCCUCAAGUGGAAUCACAAAUCACCAACACACCUUGGAAUAACCUUGAGAAUAAGGAUACUUUGGUUCACUCUUGUGAAAUCGGCUAGCCCUCUUAGUGUACCCACACUAGUGUCAUUUCACCAACCAAAGACAUCUUUAUAUAAUGUGGAGACUAGGGUUAAACCCAUGACCUUUAAUUUCAUAUGAUCCAUGGGUUAAACACUCAAUGGACUAUCCAUGAAAGCUUAGCCCAUCCUAAAUGAACUUGGCCCAUCACACACAUAUAUCUAAGAGUCCAUAUUUAAUUAGUUCAUUUUGAUCACUUAAUUAAUUCUAAAUUAAUUCUUGAUCAAUACUAAUUAAAUAAUAUGAUUCCAUAUUAAUAUAUUAGAACUUAUAAUAUAUUAAUAUAAUCAUAAAUAUACUAUUCUCAAAAGAUUAUCCAUAUAAAUUGUGCCGGUGAAGUGCAAGCCAAAUGGACCAUGUCGGGUCGGGUUAAGUACGUACCAAAUAUAGUUAUGGACUUAGACAUUAAUCCAACAAAUUAACACAUAAAAGGUAUGUUAUUCUUCAUUAUGUUUUAUAUUUUCAUAGGGUAGCAGUAAUAGUAUGAAACUUAGAUCCUAGGGUGCAUGUACACUUAGGAAAAUCUAUGAACGUUCCUGCUACGUAGAUAGAGAGUCUUGAUGCAUAGAAAACCCAACAAAAAGAUCUAUAAAACAACUACCCAAAAUUCUUGUUGGGAUGUCCAACGAGACAACACGUCUCUAUUCUAAGCCCUAGAUUGUUGAGCGCCUCAUGAAAAACGUAAGCCUCAUAAUAGUAGACUUCCAUAUGUGUUAGUGAGGGAUGAACCCUUACUCCAUAUUUCAGAGAGUGUCUUAAAAAUAAUGUUAGUUGGCGGAAACCAAGGAACCUUGUAACACUUAUUCAUGAUACAAUUCAUGAAUUGUUUUGUAAAGCAUAAUACGACUCAUCUAGUAUCAAAUCAAUCAUCGAUUUGUUUUCUCUUUCCAACUACACUCCUUUCAGUAGUGUUUGGGGUAGAUACAACUUAUGAAAACCUUUUCAUAAUUCCUUAGAUGAUAGAAAUGGUAUUGACUAAUAUGCUAAAUUAUCCUUAUGGAAUAUGAAGAUCUUAUCCUUUUACCCAAAUAAUUCUAAACUUUGUUUUAUGACAAUUCUAAACACCAUAUAGGUUACAGACUCAUGUUUGAAGUUGCUCUUACUAUGCAAUGUAAUUCUUAAUUUCAAGAAUAUUAUUCCAUAUAUUACAUCUCAUUCAAAUAUUUGAAUCAACAUUUUUAAUUGUUGUUAAGGUACCAGUUUUAUAGAUUUCACAACUUUUCUUUCAAAUACAAAACAUAUGAAACGUUCUACAUUUAAGUGAGUCGGAACAACCUCAUGAAAAUUGUAUCAAUAGUUCUUGAAUCAUAAUACCAUAUAUUAAACAUUUGGGAGAACGAGGCGUCUUUUGAUCCAUUGAAUAGUAGCAACAGCCAGGUAUUUAUGAACAAUUUUGCUUAUCCUUGUUUCAGUCCUUUUACUCCUUUCAAGUCACUGCGUAUUUUUGCAAAUGUUAGUACUAUAUACUUAGUAAAAUACUCAACUAUUGGAGGUAAUGUUCAAAUGGUGUUAUGAAUUUUUCAUAUCUGAUUGUAGACUAAAUAUUCAUGAAAACGAGUAGUUGUUUGAUCCUAUAGAUAGUAACAUGGGCUUGUAUGUGACAUCCCCAAAAUCACGGCCAGAAAAGACCGGUUUGUUUAUGCUUUGUUUAAAAAUCAGAGUUACAUUUUAAAUGAAAGCAUUGCGGAAUUUGUCCCAAAACAAAAAUAUGAUAAAGAUUUAUCAAAAGCAUUUCCAUAGAAAUGUAUUUCAUUAAAAGACUCGGGAUGUCAUGUUCGUACAGAUCAAAAGCAUAAACAGUACAAUAUAAGCCUUACUACAUUAUUUCAUAUCUACAGGCCUAUAUCCGUAAUCCCUCGUCCAAAACAUCACACCUAUGCUCAUGCGCCACUACCUGUAAUACAUAAAACUGAGUGGGUCAGGCUUGGGAGCCUGGUGAGCACAUAGGGUUUUC